AUUGAACGCUGGCGGCAGGCUUAACACAUGCAAGUCGAGCGGGGAAAGGUAGCUUGCUACCUAACCUAGCGGCGGACGGGUGAGUAAUGCUUAGGAAUCUGCCUAUUAGUGGGGGACAACAUUCCGAAAGGAAUGCUAAUACCGCAUACGCCCUACGGGGGAAAGCAGGGGAUCUUCGGACCUUGCGCUAAUAGAUGAGCCGAAGUCAGAUUAGCUAGUUGGUGGGGUAAAGGCCUACCAAGGCGACGAUCUGUAGCGGGUCUGAGAGGAUGAUCCGCCACACUGGGACUGAGACACGGCCCAGACUCCUACGGGAGGCAGCAGUGGGGAAUAUUGGACAAUGGGCGAAAGCCUGAUCCAGCCAUGCCGCGUGUGUGAAGAAGGCCUUUUGGUUGUAAAGCACUUUAAGCGAGGAAGAGGCUACUUGGAUUAAUACUCUAGGAUAGUGGACGUUACUCGCAGAAUAAGCACCGGCUAACUCUGUGCCAGCCGCCGCGGUAAGAC
rnacentral:rRNA from 1 species